rnacentral:rRNA from 1 species
UACGUAGGUGGCAAGCGUUGUCCGGAUUUACUGGGCGUAAAGAGCGCGCAGGCGGUCGUGCAAGUCGCGUGUGAAAGCCCCCCGGCUCAACUGGGGAGGGUCACGCGAUACUGCUCGACUUGAAGGCAGGAGAGGGAAGUGGAAUUCCCGGUGUAGUGGUGAAAUGCGUAGAUAUCGGGAGGAACACCUGUGGCGAAGGCGGCCGCCCUGGUUGGAUACGUGACGC